rnacentral:rRNA from 1 species
UACGUAGGUGGCAAGCGUUGUCCGGAUUUACUGGGCGUAAAGAGCGCGCAGGCGGUCGUUCAAGUCGCGUGUGAAAGCCCCCGGCUUAACCGGGGAGGGUCGUUGGGUACGGCGGAGCUUGAGGGCGGGAGAGGGUGGUGGAAUUCCCGGUGUAGUGGUGAAAUGCGUAGAGAUCGGGAGGAACACCUGUGGCGAAGGCGGCCACCUGGGCCGGUCCUGACGCUGAGACGGCGAAGGCGUGGGGAGCGAACGGG